rnacentral:rRNA from 1 species
UGCAAGUCGAACGGCAGCACGGGCUUCGGCCUGGUGGCGAGUGGCGAACGGGUGAGUAAUACAUCGGAACGUGCCCUGUCGUGGGGGAUAACUAGUCGAAAGAUUAGCUAAUACCGCAUACGACCUGAGGGUGAAAGCGGGGGACCGUAAGGCCUCUCGCGACAGGAGCGGGCGAUGUCUGAUUAGCUAUUUGGUGGGGUAAAAGCCUACCAAGGCGACGAUCAGUAGCUGGUCUGAGAGGACNAUAAGCCACACUGUGACUGAGACACGGCCCANACUCUUACGGGAGGCGGCAGUGGGGAAUUUUGGACAAUGGGGGCAACCCUGAUCCACCAAUGCCGCGUGUGUGAAAAAAGCCUUUGGGUUGUAAAGCACUUUUGUCCGGAAAGAAAACCUUUUCCCUAUUACGGUGGAGGGAUGACAGUACCGGAAAAAUAAGCACCGGCUAACUACGUGCCACCAGCCGCGGUAAUACGUAUGGUGCGAGCGUUAAUCGGAAUUACUGGGCGUAAAGCGUGCGCACGCGGUUUGGUAANACAGGCGUGAAAUCCCCGAGCUUAACUUGNGAAUGGCGCUUGUGACUGUCANGCUAUAGUAUGUCANAGGGGGGUANAAUUCCACGUGUANCANUGAAAUGCGUANAGAUGUGGAGGAAUACCNAUGGCGAAAGC